rnacentral:rRNA from 1 species
UGUUGCUUGCAAGGGCGUAUGGUGGAUGCCUUGGCAGACAGGACCGAUGAAGGACGUUUGAGGCUGCGAUAUGCCUCGGGGAGCCGCCAACAGGGCUUUGAUCCGAGGAUUUCCGAAUGGGGGAACCCACCGACCGUCAUGGGUCGGUACCGGCUUCGGCCGGGGGGUACGCAGGGAAGUGAAACAUCUCAGUACCUGCAGGAAAGGAUAUUCCGUGAGUAGUGGCGAGCGAAAGCGGAUGAUGGCCAAACCUUGCGCGUGUGAUACCCGUCGGGGGUUGCGCGCGGGGUGUUGCGGGAUCGCGUGCGCCGGCUCCGACGGGCCGGCCGGCAGUUGCAGAAAACCAUGUGUCAGGGGAACCGGGUUGAAUACCGGGCCGCAGAGGGUGAGGGCCCCGUACCUGAACGCGCAUGGUCUGCCGAUCGCGUCUCCCAAGUAGCACGGGUCCCGUGGAACCCCGUGCGAAUCCGCCCAGACCGUUGGGUAAGCCUGAAUAUUCCUGUCUGACCGAUAGCGAACGAGUACCGUGAGGGAAAGGUGAAAAGUACCCCGGGAGGGGAGUGAAACAGUCUCUGAAACCGUGCGCCUACAAUCCGUCGGAGCCCUUUUGUGGGGUGACGGCGUGCCUAUCGAAAAAUGAGUCUGCGAGUCAGUGGCAUGUGGCGAGCAUAACCCGUGUGGGGUAUGCGUAGCGAAGGCGAGUCUUAAAAGGCGUUUGAGUCGCGUGUCCUGGACCCGAAGCGGGAUGAUCUAGCCCUGAGCAGGUUGAAGCGCGGGUAAGACCGCGUGGAGGACCGAACCCACCUGGGUUGAAAACCGGGGGGAUGACUUGGGGCUAGGGGUGAAAGGCCAAUCAAAUUCCGUGAUAGCUGGUUCUCUCCGAAAUGCAUUUGGGUGCAGCGUCGGGUCAUUACGUCCCGGGGGUAGAGCUACUGGAUGCUUGCGGGCCCGUAUCGGGUACCAACAGCAACCAAACUCCGAAUACCGGUGACGCGUAUCCCGGCAGUGAGUCGGCGGGGGAUAAGCUUCGUCGUCGAAAGGGAAACAGCCCAGACCGUCGUCUAAGGUCCCGAAGCGUGUGCUAAGUGGGAAAGGAUGUGGAGUCGCAUAGACAGCCAGGAGGUUGGCUCAGAAGCAGCCAUCCUUUAAAGAGUGCGUAACAGCUCACUGGUCUAGUGGUUCCGCGCCGACAAUGUAGCGGGGCUCAAGCACACCACCGAAGACGCGGCAGUAUUUUGUACUGGGUAGGAGAGCGUCCCAUGAGGGGCGAAGCGGCCGUGUGAACGCGCCGUGGACUUCAUGGGAGUGAGAAUGCAGACAUGAGUAGCGAGAGACGGGUGAAGAUCCCGUCCGCUGGAUGACCAAGGGUUCCAGGGCCACGUUCAUCGUCCCUGGGUGAGUCGGGUCCUAAGGCGAGGCCGACAGGCGUAGUCGAAUGGAUGAACGGGUCGAUAUUCCCGUACCGGCUUUCAGCCGCCAAAACCGAGGCUUGGAGUACUAACCUCCGGGUCCGGGCUUACUGCUCCUUCGGGGGCGGGAUGCCCUGGCCUGUUGGGACCGAUCCUUGUAGUAGGUCAGCGCAGGAGUGACGCAGAAGGGUAGCCGGCCGCGGAGGUGGUCUUCCGUGGUCAAGCACGCAGGGCGUGGGACAGGCAAAUCCGUCCCGCAUGGGUCCGAGGUGCGAUGAUGGGGGCCUUAUGGCCCGAUAUCCGGUGAUCCCGGCUGCCGAGAAAAGCUUCGGCGUCAGGCUCGAAGCCGCCCGUACCCCAAACCGACACUGGUGGUCAGGUAGAGAAUACCAAAGCGAUCGAGCGAAUCCUGGUCAAGGAACUCGGCAAAUCACUCCCGUUCCUUCGGUUUAAGGGAGACCCCCGAUGGUGAACACACUUGCUGUGGGAGCUUUUGGGGGUGGCACAGACCAGGGGGUAGCGACUGUUUACCAAAAACACAGGUGCAUGCGAAGGCGCAAGCCGCUGUAUAUGCACUGACGCCUGCCCGGUGCCGGAAGGUUAAGAGGAUCCGUCAGCCUUCGGGUGAAGCGGUGAAUUCAAGCCCCGGUAAACGGCGGUGGUAACUAUAACCAUCCUAAGGUAGCGAAAUUCCUUGUCGGGUAAGUUCCGACCUGCACGAAUGGCGUA